rnacentral:rRNA from 1 species
AUUGAACGCUGGCGGCAGGCCUAACACAUGCAAGUCGAACGAGUGGCGGACGGGUGAGUAAUGUCUGGGAAACUGCCCGAUGGAGGGGGAUAACUACUGGAAACGGUAGCUAAUACCGCAUACCAUCAGAUGUGCCCAGAUGGGAUUAGCUAGUGGGUGGGGUAACGGCUCACCAAGGCGACGAUCCCUAGCUGGUCUGAGAGGAUGACCAGCCACACUGGAACUGGGACACGGUCCAGACUCCUACGGGAGGCAGCAGUGGGGAAUAUUGCACAAUGGGCGAAAGCCUGAUACAGCCAUGCCGCGUGUAUGAAGAAGGCCUUCGGGUUGUAAAGUACUUUCAGCGAGGAGGCGUUACUCGCAGAAGAAGCACCGGCUAACUCCGUGCCAGCCGCCGCGGUAAUUC